rnacentral:rRNA from 1 species
UGGGGAAUAUUGCACAAUGGGCGAAAGCCUGAUGCAGCGACGCCGCGUGAGGGAUGACGGCCUUCGGGUUGUAAACCUCUUUCAGUAGGGACGAAGCGCAAGUGACGGGACCUGCAGAAGAAGCACCGGCUAACUACGUGCCAGCAGCCGCGGUAAUACGUAGGGUGCGAGCGUUGUCCGGAAUUACUGGGCGUAAAGAGCUCGUAGGCGGUUUGUCACGUCGUCUGUGAAAUCCUAGGGCUUAACCCUGGACGUGCAGGCGAUACGGGCUGACUUGAGUACUACAGGGGAGACUGGAAUUUCUGGUGUAGCGGUGGAAUGCACAGAUAUCAGGAAGAACACCGAUGGCGAAGGCAGGUCUCUGGGUAGUAACUGACGCUGAGGAGCGAAAGCAUGGGUAGCGAACAGG